UACGUAGGGGGCGAGCGUUGUCCGGAGUUACUGGGCGUAAAGCGCACGCAGGCGGUCUGCUAAGUUUGGAGUGACAGUUUGUGGCUUAACUGCCAAAGUGCUUCGAAAACUGACAGACUUGAGGGCUUCAGAGGGACACGGAAUUCCGGGUGGAGUGGUGAAAUGCGUAGAGAUCCGGAGGAACACCAAAGGCGAAGGCAGUGUCCUGGGGAGUUCCUGACGCUCAGGUGCGAAAGCCAGGGGAGCGAACGGG
rnacentral:rRNA from 1 species